rnacentral:lncRNA from 1 species
UAAUGUGUACUGAAUACAGAACUCAACCCAGAUAUCAAGUUGUUUUGGAAUGGCCAGUGUCAUUCUGAACACCCUAACCAUGCCUGAUACCUCCUCACUGCCAUAAAUCAAGUCGAGUGUUGGUUGAAGCAAAGCUGGAUGGAAUCAACCUGUCGAAAGCCCUGACUUCCGGUCCUGCUACUCUCAUUUCUUACACACACUGCGCUACCUCCUGUUGGCUCGUCCAGCUUUGAAGUACACAUGGAACGAACUAACGUGGUAUCUCCUAUGCCUAACUAAUCCUGCCUGAAGAGUCUCCACUGGAAGUAUUUGAGAGCAGUAUUUAUUUUCCCGAAAUCCCAAGUUCAGCAACAUCUGGGAUCUGCUACUCAGGAACUGGUCUGUUGCGUUCUCAUGUGAAGACAAGUCAGAGAGUCACAUACACACUGAAAAAAGAC